AUUGAACGCUGGCGGCAGGCUUAACACAUGCAAGUCGGGCGGGGGAAGGUAGCUUGCUACCGGACCUAGCGGCGGACGGGUGAGUAAUGCUUAGGAAUCUGCCUAUUAGUGGGGGACAACAUCUCAAAAGGGAUGCUAAUACCGCAUAUGUCCUACGGGAGAAAGCAGGGGAUCUUCGGACCUUGCGCUAAUAGAUGAGCCUAAGUCGGAUUAGCUAGUUGGUGGGUAAAGGCCUACCAAGGCGACGAUCUGUAGCGGGUCUGAGAGGAUGAUCCGACACACUUGAACAUAGACAAGGGCCGGACUCCAGCGGGAGGCAGCAGUGGGGAAUAUUGGACAAUGGGGGGAACCCUGAUCCAGCCAUGCCGCGUGUGUGAAGAAGGCCUUAUGGUUGUAAAGCACUUUAAGCGAGAAGGAGGCUACUCUAGUUAAUACCUAGUGAUAGUGGACGUUACUCGCAGAAUAAGCACCGGCUAACUCUGUGCCAGCCGCCGCCGUAA
rnacentral:rRNA from 1 species